rnacentral:rRNA from 1 species
AGUGAACGCUGGCGGUAGGCCUAACACAUGCAAGUCGAACGGCAGCACAGUAAGAGCUUGCUCUUACGGGUGGCGAGUGGCGGACGGGUGAGGAAUACAUCGGAAUCUACUUUUUCGUGGGGGAUAACGUAGGGAAACUUACGCUGAUACCGCAUCCGACCUACGGGUGAAAGCAGGGGAUCUUCGGCCCUUGCGCGAUUGAAUGAGCCGAUGUCGGAUUAGCUAGUUGGCGGGGUAAAGGCCCACCACGGCGACGAUCCGUAGCUGGUCUGAGAGGAUGAUCAGCCACACUGGAACGGAGACACGGUCCAGACGCCUACGGGAGGCAGCAGUGGGGAAUAUUGGACAAUGGGCGCAAGCCUGAUCCAGCCAUACCGCGUGUGUGAAGAAGGCCUUCGGGUUGUAAAGCCCUUUUGUUGGGAAAGAAAAGCAUCAGGUUAAUACCCCGCUGUUCUGACGGUACCCAAAGAAUAAGCACCGGCUAACUUCGUG